GGCUUAACACAUGCAAGUCGAGGGGCAGCAUUUCUUUUUGCUUGCAAACUGGAGAUGGCGACCGGCGCACGGGUGAGUAACACGUAUCCAACCUGCCGAUAACUCGGGGAUAGCCUUUCGAAAGAAAGAUUAAUACCCGAUGGUAUAAUCAGACCGCAUGGUCUUGUUAUUAAAGAAUUUCGGUUAUCGAUGGGGAUGCGUUCCAUUAGGCAGUUGGUGAGGUAACGGCUCACCAAACCUUCGAUGGAUAGGGGUUCUGAGAGGAAGGUCCCCCACAUUGGAACUGAGACACGGUCCAAACUCCUACGGGAGGCAGCAGUGAGGAAUAUUGGUCAAUGGGCGCAGGCCUGAACCAGCCAAGUAGCGUGAAGGAUGACUGCCCUAUGGGUUGUAAACUUCUUUUAUAUGGGAAUAAAGUUUUCCACGUGUGGAAUUUUGUAUGUACCAUAUGAAUAAGGAUCGGCUAACUCCGUGCCAGCAGCCGCGGUAAUACGGAGGAUCCGAGCGUUAUCCGGAUUUAUUGGGUUUAAAGGGAGCGUAGGUGGACAGUUAAGUCAGUUGUGAAAGUUUGCGGCUCAACCGUAAAAUUGCAGUUGAUACUGGCUGUCUUGAGUACAGUAGAGGUGGGCGGAAUUCGUGGUGUAGCGGUGAAAUGCUUAGAUAUCACGAAGAACUCCGAUUGCGAAGGCAGCUCACUGGACUGCAACUGACACUGAUGCUCGAAAGUGUGGGUAUCAAACAGGAUUAGAUACCCUGGUAGUCCACACAGUAAACGAUGAAUACUCGCUGUUUGCGAUAUACAGUAAGCGGCCAAGCGAAAGCAUUAAGUAUUCCACCUGGGGAGUACGCCGGCAACGGUGAAACUCAAAGGAAUUGACGGGGGCCCGCACAAGCGGAGGAACAUGUGGUUUAAUUCGAUGAUACGCGAGGAACCUUACCCGGGCUUAAAUGGCAUUUGAAUAUAUUGGAAACAGUAUAGCCGUAAGGCAAAUGUGAAGGUGCUGCAUGGUUGUCGUCAGCUCGUGCCGUGAGGUGUCGGCUUAAGUGCCAUAAGGAGCGCAACCCUUAUCUUUAGUUACUAACAGGUCAUGCUGAGGACUCUAGAGAGACUGCCGUCGUAAGAUGUGAGGAAGGUGGGGAUGACGUCAAAUCAGCACGGCCCUUACGUCCGGGGCUACACACGUGUUACAAUGGGGGGUACAGAAGGCAGCUACCUGGUGACAGGAUGCUAAUCCCAAAAGCCUCUCUCAGUUCGGAUCGAAGUCUGCAACCCGACUUCGUGAAGCUGGAUUCGCUAGUAAUCGCGCAUCAGCCAUGGCGCGGUGAAUACGUUCCCGGGCCUUGUACACACCGCCCGUCAAGCCAUGAAAGCCGGGGGUACCUGAAGUACGUAACCGCAAGGAGCGUCCUAGGGUAAAACUGGUAAUUGGGGCUAAGUCG
rnacentral:rRNA from 1 species